CAGUAGCCGCGGGAAUACCGAGGAUGCAAGCGUUGUCCGGAAUUAUUGGGCGUAAAGGGCUCGCAGGCGGUUUCUUAAGUCUGAUGUGAAAGCCCCCGGCUCAACCGGGGAGGGUCAUUGGAAACUGGGAAACUUGAGUGCAGAAGAGGAGAGUGGAAUUCCACGUGUAGCAGUGAAAUGCGUAGAGAUGUGGAGGAACACCAGUGGCGAAGGCGACUCUCUGGUCUGUAACUGACGCUGAGGAGCGAAAGCGUGGGGAGCGAACAGGAUUAGAUACCCCUGUAGUCCCUGUCUCUUAUAC
rnacentral:rRNA from 1 species